rnacentral:lncRNA from 1 species
CUUAUAUUUUUUUUAGAAUUAAUUUCAUACAUGUUCCUGCAAAUAUAUUGAAUUACAAAUAUAUUCUUACAAAAUUUAAUUUUUAUAUAUUGUUCGUGUAAAAAUCCUAAUGUUUUCAAAUAUGUACCUCCAGUUUGUUUCCGUUAAAAUAUUAUUUAUUUUAUAAAUGAAAUGAUAUUUUUGUCAUCAUAAAUAUAUCCCUCCAAAAGUCCCAACU